CUGGCUCAGGACGAACGCUGGCGGCGUGCCUAAUACAUGCAAGUCGAACGCACUNUCGUUAGAUUGAAGAAGCUUGCUUCUGAUUGAUAACAUUUGAGUGAGUGGCGGACGGGUGAGUAACACGUGGGUAACCUGCCCUAAAGUGGGGGAUAACAUUUGGAAACAGAUGCUAAUACCGCAUAAAACCUAGCACCGCAUGGUGCAAGGUUGAAAGAUGGUUUCGGCUAUCACUUUAGGAUGGACCCGCGGUGCAUUAGUUAGUUGGUGAGGUAAAGGCUCACCAAGACCGUGAUGCAUAGCCGACCUGAGAGGGUAAUCGGCCACACUGGGACUGAGACACGGCCCAGACUCCUACGGGAGGCAGCAGUAGGGAAUCUUCCACAAUGGACGAAAGUCUGAUGGAGCAACGCCGCGUGAGUGAAGAAGGUUUUCGGAUCGUAAAACUCUGAUUGUUGGAGAAGAACGUAUUUGAUAGUAACUGAUCAGUGGUGACGUAUCCACCCAGGCGC
rnacentral:rRNA from 2 species